UAGAUCCGCGCGCCUUCGAUAAUAGGAUCGUUAGGUUAGUGAACUGGGAAACAUAGGUGGGGAUAAGAACAAAGCCUAGAAGAAGAACGAGCUCAGUCCAAGAAGAAAGACCAAUAAGAAUAGAAGUAAAAAGGUAGAUAGAUAGAAUAUUAUAAAGACAUAAAGAAUAAAUCUCAAUUGUUGUUUCUCUCGUUCACAGAUGAACGCAACGUCAAAAUAUCGUUGUCAUGGGAGACGUGACUGACUACCGAUAAGGGUUAAUAUAUUUAUAUAUUGUAUUAAUAUAUUUAAACUAGCGUGAUAAUCAGCAACAAGGUAAUACACUUCUUGUAGUAUUUACAAUAUCUCAUCAUUGCACUUAGUAUCGUAAAUUUGGUCAUUAAAAAAAAAAAAAAAA